GUCUGAUAAAAAGAGGUAAAUUGUAAAUUUAUUUAUGGGCUUAAACCUUUUACUAGGUAAAAU
rnacentral:tRNA from 1 species